AUGUUGGGUUAAGUCCCGCAACGAGCGCAACCCUUGUCCGUAGUUGCCAUCAUUUAGUUGGGAACUCUACGGAGACCGCCGGUGACAAACCGGAGGAAGGUGGGGAUGACGUCAAGUCAUCAUGGCCCUUAUGACCAGGGCUACACACGUGCUACAAUGGCUGGUACAGAGGGCUGCCAACCCGCGAGGGGGAGCCAAUCCCAGAAAGCCAGUCGUAGUCCGGAUCGGAGUCUGCAACUCGACUCCGUGAAGUCGGAAUCGCUAGUAAUCGCGAAUCAGCAACGUCGCGGUGAAUACGUUCCCGGGUCUUGUACACACCGCCCGUCACACCAUGGAAGUUGAUUGCACCAGAAGUCGGUAGCUUAACCGCAAGGGGAGCGCCGCCCACGGUGUGGUCAAUGACUGGGGUGAAGUCGUAACAAGGUAGAUA
rnacentral:rRNA from 1 species